rnacentral:rRNA from 1 species
GAUAGCCCGGGGAAACCCGGAUUAAUACCGCGUACGCCCUUCGGGGGAAAGCAGGGGAUCUUCGGACCUUGCGCUAUUGGAUGUGCCUAUGUCGGAUUAGCUAGUUGGUGGGGUAAAGGCCUACCAAGGCGACGAUCCGUAGCUGGUCUGAGAGGAUGAUCAGCCACAUCGGGACUGAGACACGGCCCGAACUCCUACGGGAGGCAGCAGUGGGGAAUAUUGGACAAUGGGGGCAACCCUGAUCCAGCCAUGCCGCGUGUGUGAAGAAGGCUUUCGGGUUGUAAAGCACUUUCAGUGAGGAGGAAAACUCUGCGACUAAUACUCGUAGGGCUUGACGUUACUCACAGAAGAAGCACCGGCUAACUCCGUGCCAGCAGCCGCGGUAAUACGGAGGGUGCAAGCGUUAAUCGGAAUUACUGGGCGUAAAGCGCGCGUAGGUGGUUUGAUAAGCGAGAUGUGAAAGCCCCGGGCUUAACCUGGGAACGGCAUUUCGAACUGUCAGGCUAGAGUGUGGUAGAGGGUAGUGGAAUUUCCUGUGUAGCGGUGAAAUGCGUAGAUAUAGGAAGGAACACCAGUGGCGAAGGCGGCUACCUGGACCAACACUGACACUGAGGUGCGAAAGCGUGGGGAGCAAACAG